CUCGAGUUCCCGCAACGUCACCUCAGGGGCGCGGUGUAUGUAAAUUAUGUGCACGCCGAGGAUGCCCACACGUACACUUACCAUGCCGUUUAAGAAUGAUACCUACAUGAUGGCCUAGAUAUUUUUAGGGGGCACUAUGAGAACAAGCGAAAGUGAGAGAGAGAAAGCAUAAAACAGAAGACCGUAAGUUCAGAGUGGGGCGAUAUCGAUGGAGUCCUUGUACCCGGCAAGACUAACUCAUACUUACCUGGCAGGGGAGAUACCAUGAUCACGAAGGUGGUUUUCCCAGGGCGAGGCUUAUCCAUUGCACUCCGGAUGUGCUGACCCCUGCGAUUUCCCCAAAUGCGGGAAACUCGACUGCAUAAUUUGUGGUAGUGGGGGACUGCGUUCGCGCUCUCCCCUGGUAACAUUGUUACUAAAUGAGAGACUUAUUACUUUGCUACGUUGUUUGCUUAAUACCCUGUCGCUCAAUCUGUCUCAAAUAGGUUCUUUAUCACUUCCUGUUAAUGGUAAUCUCGCAGUUACAUUAAAACGAUAGUUGGUUGUAUUUAAAUUGUGAAGAGAUCAAUGUUUAAAGCAGUGUUUAGCUUUUUAUUUUUCUCCACUCCUACCCUCUUCCCGUGGUCUCCCUGCUCCAAAUUUACACAGGAGAUCUUUCUUGUCUUUUUCUACUUUCCAUGUAGAUUAGAUCCAUGUAUGUCUCUCUUAGGGUCCUCACUGUUGUCUAGGUUCUUUGGGAUUGUGAAUUGUAGGCUGGUUUUAUUUGCUUUGUGUCCAAAAGCUACUUAUGAGUACGUAAUGAUAUUUGCCUUUCUGGUUACCUCACUCAAUGUUUUCUAGCUCCAUCCAUUUACCUGCAAAAUUCAAGACGUCAUAAUUUUUUUCUGCUGUGUAGUACUCCGUUGUGUAAAUGUACCACAUUUUCCUGAUCCAUUCUCCGGUCAAGGGGCAUUUAGGUUGUUUCCAGGUUCAAGUAUGUCACUGGAUGGAGUCUUUGUUGCAAUGCUGCAAGGGUUCUGGGGCAUGUACCGAGCUCUGUUGACUUCUCCUUCAUGGUUGAUCGUGAUUUCUAUUUCAAUUUUCCUACUGACCGAGCCAAAACCUCCAAAUUCUCCUUUUUCACUGUCAUAGUGUGAAGCAUCAAACCGAGCAUCGUCACUGGGGAGCUGAACACUGGCUAUCGACAGGUGGUUUGGUUCAUCCGAUGUGUGUGUUCCCAGGACAAGUUGAUGAAUGCUGAAAUCUUUCCUCUCAGGCCUGGUAACAUCUGGAAGCCACUGGGCAGCUAAACUGGGCCACUCCAGGGCAUGAGUCGCCACCAAACCAUAAAGAAAAGAAGUGUUUUUCUUUCAUAUUUUGUACUCGUUGAUCACACGUUCUUCCACCGCGUCGUCAAAGGCAGCUUUCUUGUCAGCCAUGGCGGCAAGCGAGCCAGGACAGGUUGGGGGGAAUCCUGGGGUCGUACGUUACAGGAGGGACGGGGAGGCAACAGUCAUCAGUGUUUUUGAUCUUGGCCAUUCUUACAGAUGGAAUCUCAGAGUUGUUUUGAUUUGCAUUUCUCUGCUGGCUAAGGAUGUUGAGCAUUUCCUUAAGUGUCUUUCAGCCAUUUUAGAUUCCUCUGUUGAGAGUUCUCUGUUUAGGUCUGCCCUCCCCCUUUUUAUUGGAUUAUUUGUUCUUUUAAUAACCAAUUUCUUGAGUUCUUUGUAUAUUUUGGAGAUCAGACCUCUGUCUGAAGUGGGGUAGGUGAAGAUCUUUUCCCAUUCUGUAGGCUGCCGUUUUGUAUUGUUGACCAUGCCCUUUGCUUUACAGAAGCUUUUCAGUUUCAGAAGGUCCCGUUUAUUAAUUGUUUCUCUCAGUGUCUAUGCUACUGGGGUUAUAUUUAGGAAGUGGUUCCCUGUGCCAAUGCGUUCAAGUGUACUUUCAACUUUCUCUUAUAUGAGGUGUAGUGUGGCUGGCUUUAUGUUGAGGUCUUUGAUCCAUUUGGAAUUGAGUUUUGUGCAUGGUGAUAGAUAUGGGUCUAUUUUCAUUCUUCUACAGGUUGAUAUCCAGUUAUACCAGCACCAUGGUUGAAUAUGCUUUCUUUUUUCCAUUUGAUAUUUUUUGCUUCUUCGUCAAAAAUCAGGUGUUUGUAGGUGUGUGGAUUGAUAUCCAGUCUUCAAUUCGGUUCCAUUGUUCCUCCUGUUUUUAUGCCAAUACCUGGUCUCAGUUUAAUUUUGGUAAGUGAUAUUUAUCCAGAUAAUUGUCCAUUUCCUCUAAGUUUUACAAUUUUGUGGAGUACAGGUUUUCAAAAUAUGACCUAAUGAUUCUCUGAAUUUCCUCCAUGUCUGUCCUUAUGUCCCCCUUUUCGUUUCUGAUUUUGUUAGUUUGGAUAUUCUCUCUCUCUCUCUCUCUCUCUCUCUCUCUCUCUCUCUCUCUCUCUCUGCCUUCUGGUUUGGAUAAAGGCCUGUCUACUUUGUUUAUUUUCUCAAAGAACCAACUCUUUGUCUCAUUGAUUCUUUGUAUUGUUUUCUUUGUUUCUAUUUUGGUGAUUUCAGCUCUGUUUGAUUAUUUCCCUCCCGUCUAGUCCUCCUGGGUGAGUUUGAUUCUUUUUGUUCUAGAGUUUUCAAAUGUUCUGCUAACUCACUAGUGUGGUAGUGUUUUUCCAGCUUCUUUGUGUAGUUAUUUAGUACUAUGAACUUUCCUCUUAACACUGGUUUCAUUCUCAUAAAUUUGAGUAUGUUAUGUGGUCAUUUUCACUGAAUUUUUUAGGAAGUCUUUAAUUUCUUUCUUGACCCAUUGAUGAUUCAGGUGAGCAUUGUUGAAUUUCCAUGUGUUUGUGGGCUUUCCUGAAUUACUGUUGCUGUUGACUUCUAAUUUUAAGCCAUGGUGAUCUGAUAAGGUACAUGGGUUAUCCCAGUUUUUUGUAUCGGUUGAGGAUGUGGUCAGUUUUUGAGAAGGUCCCAUGAGGUGCUGAGAAGAAGGUAUAUUCUUUUCUGUUUGGAUGGAAUGUUCCAUAGAUGUCUGAAGUCACAGAAGUCCAUCUGAGUCAUAUCAUCUGUUAGUUCCCUUAUUUCUCCCUUAAUUUUCUGUCUGACAGACCUGUCCAGUGGUGAGAGUGGAGUGCUGAAGUCUUAGUGUGUGGGAUUUAAUGUGGGAUUUAAGCUCUAGAAGUAUUUCUUUCACUUAUGAGGGGGCCUUUGUAUCUGAGGCGUAGAUGUUCAGUAUUAAGGUUUCCUCUUGCUGGAUUUUUCCUGUGACUAACACGAAAUGUCCUUCUUUGUCUCUUUUGAUUGAUUUAUUUUGAAAUCUGUUUUGUUAGAUAUUAGGAUAACUUCACCAGCUUGUUUCUUUGGUCAAUUUGAUUGGAAAAAAAAAAUUUUCCCAACCUUACUCUGAGGCGAUGUCUGUCUUUGAGGUUGAGGUGUGUUUCUUGUAUGCAGCAGAAGGAUGGAUCUUGCUUUCACAUCCAAUCUGCUAGCCUAUGUCUUCUUAUAGGUGAGUUGAGUCCAUUUAUAUUAAGGCGUAUUAAUGACCAGUGACUGUUAGCUCCUGUUAUUUUAGUUUUCGUUGUUUGUGAUGUUAUUGUGUGUGUUUUUCCCUUCUUUAGGAUUUGUUGCUGUGAGAUCAUCUAUUGUCUGUUGUGGAUGUAGCCAACUUCCUUGAGUUGGAGUUUUCCUUCUAGUACUGUGUGUAGGGCUGGGUUUGUGGGAGAGGUAUUGGUGAAAUCUGGUUCUGCCUUGGAAUAUCUUGUUUUGUCCGUUUUAUGGUGACUGAAAGUUUUGCUGGGUAUAGUAGUUUGGGCUGGCACCCGUGGUCUCUUGAUGUCUGCAUAACGCUUGACCCGGUCCUUCUGGCUUUUAUCAUUUCAACUGAGAAGUCAGGUGUACUUCUGAUAGGUCUGUCUUUAUAUGUUACUUGGCCUUUUUACUUUGCAGCUCUUAAAAUUCUUUCUUUAUUCUGUAUGUUUAGUGUUUUGAUUAUUAUGUGGUGAGGGGACAGCAUCCAUGUCAGCUGGCUCACAAACCAGCGGCUUCCCUCCUCUGGCCUCUGAAGGUGCCUGAAGUUCGGCCCUGGAACCCAGGAUCACUGGCACCUGGGAGAAGUCGCCUCCUGGAUUUCAUGACUGAGUAUCCGCACGGAGCCCCUACCCCACUUAACAUUUUUAAAUCUUAUUUUACGUGUAUUCACGUGUGACAUACCACAACCUGUGCGCACGAACCUGUGCAUGUCCGAAGAGGACGUCGGAUCCGGUGGAGCUGUGAGCUGUGCAUAUCGGGUCGGAGAUGCUGUGAGCUGCCAGGUGAGCGCUGGGCACCGAACCCCGGUUCUCUGCAGGAGCCGCCAGCGCUCUAAGCUGCCGAGUCAUUUCUCCGGCCCCACUGCUCCACUUUCGUGCCUUCUAUGUCUGGUUUAUGGGUUUGUGUCCUCGUUUGCGGGUCUGUUGGUUCUGAGACAAGAUCUCACUGGGUAGCCCUGGCUGGCCUGUACUGGAGAUGUGUAGACCAUCCAUACCUAGCCCUGAACUCAGAGCGAUCCGGAACCGCCAGAGUGCUGGGGUGGAUUAAAGGGGCCGUGCCGGCGAGCAGCGGGUCAGCUUCACGCGAGUCAGUGCCAGCUGGGAGGAGGGUUGAAGCUCGGUUGAGAAAGGACGGGCUGAAGGCCGGAAGCCUGAAAGACGGAAGGCCCAACCAAAGACGAGAAAGCCCGGCACGAGCAAAUCCCCGAGUGUAGUGGACGACGGCCCCCAGCCAGGAUCCUAAGUAUAGGGUCAUCCUAGGCUACAAAGUGCGGUCGGGGAGACCCCCGUCGUCCUCGCGGUCGCCCGAGGGGGAGAUUUUCCACGUAGCCCAGACUGGCCUUAAACAGCUGCCUAACAGGUACUCAAACAGAUAAAGUAUAAAUCAACAGGUAAAGUAUAUAAUAAUCAACAAAUACAGUAUAUUAAUUAUAAUUCAGCUAUGGCAAGAGUAUGUAUAUUAAAUGUAAAACUUAUUCUACAACAGUUUUAUAAAAAAUGCUGUUUAUGGCUAAACCUUCCCAGUUUUGCUAGUUAAGAUAUUAAACUCUUAAUUUAGAACAGUAGCCUGUCUGGUAUAAGAGGACAGGAUGACAUCUGAAAAAAUGGUUUGACAGAAUAUUGACUAUGAUGAAUGUUUCUUAUACUAAAUAAUAGAUUCAUUGAUAAUUUUAAGAUGGAUUCCUCGACAAUUGCCUUUCCUCAAUUCAAAGGCCAAAAACGAUGAUCUUUUCCCAGAUCAUUGCCUGUAUUUUGCUAAUGUUAUAGCAAAAAAAAUCCCUUACAGGAUUUUGUGCAAAAAUUUUACAAAUGGUUCUUUCAAUGGAGGAACUGCAUAUAUGGUUAAUGGUAAUAAUAAUAAUAAAAAU